rnacentral:rRNA from 1 species
AUGAUGGGUGGUAAAAAACCAAUUACAAUUCUAACAGAUCAAGCUAGAGCCAUGGAAAAGGCAAUCGAGGAGGUGUAUCCUGAAUCCACGCAUCGCUGGUGCAAAUGGCACGUGCUGAAGAAGGCCAAAGAAAACCUGGGUGCUCAUUACACCAAGAAGUCAGAUUUCAGGGCUGAAUUCCACAAGCUUGUGCAUGAGAUGCUGACUAUUGAUGAAUUCGAGGACGGCUGGGCAGCAUUGCUUGACAAAUAUUCACUAAAAACAAAUCCAUAUCUCGUGCAGAUCUACGAGACUAGGCAGAAGUAG